rnacentral:rRNA from 1 species
UACGUAGGUGGCAAGCGUUAUCCGGAAUUAUUGGGCGUAAAGCGCGCGCAGGCGGUUUCUUAAGUCUGAUGUGAAAGCCCACGGCUCAACCGUGGAGGGUCAUUGGAAACUGGGAAACUUGAGUGCAGAAGAGAAGAGUGGAAUUCCACGUGUAGCGGUGAAAUGCGUAGAGAUGUGGAGGAACACCAGUGGCGAAGGCGACUCUGUGGUCUGUAACUGACGCUGAGGCGCGAAAGCGUGGGGAGCAAACAGG